rnacentral:rRNA from 1 species
UACGGAGGGUGCAAGCGUUAUCCGGAUUCACUGGGUUUAAAGGGUGCGCAGGCGGAUUUGUAAGUCAGUGGUGAAAGCCCCGGGCUCAACCUGGGAAUUGCCGUUGAUACUGCAAGUCUUGAGUGCAGUUGAGGUGGGCGGAAUACAUCAUGUAGCGGUGAAAUGCUUAGAUAUGAUGUAGAACACCGAUUGCGAAGGCAGCUCACUAAACUGCAACUGACGCUCAGGCACGAAAGCGUGGGUAUCAAACAGG